GGUUAAGCGACUAAGCGUACACGGUGGAUGCCCUGGCAGUCAGAGGCGAUGAAGGGCGUGCUAAUCUGCGAUAAGCGCCGGUAAGGUGAUAUGAACCGUUAUAACCGGCGAUACCCGAAUGGGGAAACCCAGUGUGACUCGUCACACUAUCAUUAACUGAAUCCAUAGGUUAAUGAGGCGAACCGGGGGAACUGAAACAUCUAAGUACCCCGAGGAAAAGAAAUCAACCGAGAUUCCCCCAGUAGCGGCGAGCGAACGGGGAGGAGCCCAGAGCCUGAAUCAGCAUGUGUGUUAGUGGAAGCGUCUGGAAAGGCGCGCGAUACAGGGUGACAGCCCCGUACACAAAAGCGCAUGUGCUGUGAGCUCGAUGAGUAGGGCGGGACACGUGGUAUCCUGUCUGAAUAUGGGGGGACCAUCCUCCAAGGCUAAAUACUCCUGACUGACCGAUAGUGAACCAGUACCGUGAGGGAAAGGCGAAAAGAACCCCGGCGAGGGGAGUGAAAAAGAACCUGAAACCGUGUACGUACAAGCAGUGGGAGCACCCUUUUGGGUGUGACUGCGUACCUUUUGUAUAAUGGGUCAGCGACUUAUAUUCUGUAGCAAGGUUAACCGUAUAGGGGAGCCGCAGGGAAACCGAGUCUUAACCGGGCGUUAAGUUGCAGGGUAUAGACCCGAAACCCGGUGAUCUAGCCAUGGGCAGGUUGAAGGUUGGGUAACACUAACUGGAGGACCGAACCGACUAAUGUUGAAAAAUUAGCGGAUGACCUGUGGCUGGGGGUGAAAGGCCAAUCAAACCGGGAGAUAGCUGGUUCUCCCCGAAAGCUAUUUAGGUAGCGCCUCGUGAAUUCAUCUCCGGGGGUAGAGCACUGUUUCGGCUAGGGGGCCAUCCCGGCUUACCAACCCGAUGCAAACUGCGAAUACCGGAGAAUGUUAUCACGGGAGACACACGGCGGGUGCUAACGUCCGUCGUGAAGAGGGAAACAACCCAGACCGCCAGCUAAGGUCCCAAAGUCAUGGUUAAGUGGGAAACGAUGUGGGAAGGCCCAGACAGCCAGGAUGUUGGCUUAGAAGCAGCCAUCAUUUAAAGAAAGCGUAAUAGCUCACUGGUCGAGUCGGCCUGCGCGGAAGAUGUAACGGGGCUAAACCAUGCACCGAAGCUGCGGCAGCGACACUAUGUGUUGUUGGGUAGGGGAGCGUUCUGUAAGCCUGUGAAGGUGUGCUGUGAGGCAUGCUGGAGGUAUCAGAAGUGCGAAUGCUGACAUAAGUAACGAUAAAGCGGGUGAAAAGCCCGCUCGCCGGAAGACCAAGGGUUCCUGUCCAACGUUAAUCGGGGCAGGGUGAGUCGACCCCUAAGGCGAGGCCGAAAGGCGUAGUCGAUGGGAAACGGGUUAAUAUUCCCGUACUUGGUGUUACUGCGAAGGGGGGACGGAGAAGGCUAUGUUGGCCGGGCGACGGUUGUCCCGGUUUAAGCGUGUAGGCUGGUUUUCCAGGCAAAUCCGGAAAAUCAAGGCUGAGGCGUGAUGACGAGGCACUACGGUGCUGAAGCAACAAAUGCCCUGCUUCCAGGAAAAGCCUCUAAGCAUCAGGUAACAUCAAAUCGUACCCCAAACCGACACAGGUGGUCAGGUAGAGAAUACCAAGGCGCUUGAGAGAACUCGGGUGAAGGAACUAGGCAAAAUGGUGCCGUAACUUCGGGAGAAGGCACGCUGACACGUAGGUGAAGUGAUUUACUCAUGGAGCUGAAGUCAGUCGAAGAUACCAGCUGGCUGCAACUGUUUAUUAAAAACACAGCACUGUGCAAACACGAAAGUGGACGUAUACGGUGUGACGCCUGCCCGGUGCCGGAAGGUUAAUUGAUGGGGUCAGCGCAAGCGAAGCUCCUGAUCGAAGCCCCGGUAAACGGCGGCCGUAACUAUAACGGUCCUAAGGUAGCGAAAUUCCUUGUCGGGUAAGUUCCGACCUGCACGAAUGGCGUAAUGAUGGCCAGGCUGUCUCCACCCGAGACUCAGUGAAAUUGAACUCGCUGUGAAGAUGCAGUGUACCCGCGGCAAGACGGAAAGACCCCGUGAACCUUUACUAUAGCUUGACACUGAACAUUGAGCCUUGAUGUGUAGGAUAGGUGGGAGGCUUUGAAGUGUGGACGCCAGUCUGCAUGGAGCCGACCUUGAAAUACCACCCUUUAAUGUUUGAUGUUCUAACGUGGACCCGUGAUCCGGGUUGCGGACAGUGUCUGGUGGGUAGUUUGACUGGGGCGGUCUCCUCCUAAAGAGUAACGGAGGAGCACGAAGGUUGGCUAAUCCUGGUCGGACAUCAGGAGGUUAGUGCAAUGGCAUAAGCCAGCUUGACUGCGAGCGUGACGGCGCGAGCAGGUGCGAAAGCAGGUCAUAGUGAUCCGGUGGUUCUGAAUGGAAGGGCCAUCGCUCAACGGAUAAAAGGUACUCCGGGGAUAACAGGCUGAUACCGCCCAAGAGUUCAUAUCGACGGCGGUGUUUGGCACCUCGAUGUCGGCUCAUCACAUCCUGGGGCUGAAGUAGGUCCCAAGGGUAUGGCUGUUCGCCAUUUAAAGUGGUACGCGAGCUGGGUUUAGAACGUCGUGAGACAGUUCGGUCCCUAUCUGCCGUGGGCGCUGGAGAACUGAGGGGGGCUGCUCCUAGUACGAGAGGACCGGAGUGGACGCAUCACUGGUGUUCGGGUUGUCAUGCCAAUGGCACUGCCCGGUAGCUAAAUGCGGAAGAGAUAAGUGCUGAAAGCAUCUAAGCACGAAACUUGCCCCGAGAUGAGUUCUCCCUGAGACUUUAAGUCUCCUGAAGGAACGUUGAAGACGACGACGUUGAUAGGCCGGGUGUGUAAGCGCAGCGAUGCGUUGAGCUAACCGGUACUAAUGAACCGUGAGGCUUAACCUUACAACGCCGAAGAUGUUUUG
rnacentral:rRNA from 1 species